rnacentral:lncRNA from 1 species
UACGUGUUACUAAUCUUGGUAGUGAUCUACAACAAAUCACUAUGUGUCCUAUAUCAGUAGUACAAUCUCACCUUCCUACAGACGAUGGUAUCGCAGUUUAUUUUACACCUAAGAAUCCAAAACAUAAAAAGAUUGUGGAGUCCACUCCGGUAAACAUCCAUUUCUAUUUUGAUUAUCCUUUGUGUUCUAACCUAAAUGCGUGGAAGGUUGACAAUCUUGUAUCAGAAUUUCUGCCAAUUCUACACACCAUAAGCACAGGUGCAAAAGAUGAGAGCAGUUGGUUCCAAAUUAAGCAUACAACAAAUAGAAAGUAUAAGCUAGUGUUUUGUCUCUUUGACACUUAUUGCCAAGACAUUGGCAUCGUCUCACAAAGUGGUUAUCAUCGUUUGGUUCUCUCGGACAACCCAAAGCCUUUUUGCUCAAACUGGAUGAUAGAAUUGGAAUGGCAGCAGAAGUAUGAUCUUGUCAUGUUAUGCCUAGAUCUACUCUACGUAAUGUAUAAUAAUAAUGCAUGUAGGUACUUUAUCCUGUUGCAUGGAUGUAAAACUUGAUAAUAAUGUAAUGGGGGUCUGUCUAUGUGCCCCUUAUAUAUGAUCACAUGAUAUAUAUUAUGUAUUGAUAUGGAUAUCAUAAAAGACUCUGGUUCAUUCCUUGAGAAAUUUCUUUAAUCCUCUAUGAUUUCAAAGAAUUAAUUAAGACACAUAAGAAUAAGUACCGAGCUUGGAUCAAUCAAUAUUGUAGAUGCUCAAUGACUUACUGGGACAAUACAUGCAAUAACUUGUUCGACAACUAACUAUGAAAAUCAUGUAGUCAUAUAUACCAUCACUUUUUUCAAGAUACUAUUAUUACUAUAUAAAAAGUCACUGCGAUUAAACAUUAGUACUAAAUAACUAUUCUCAAUUGUCAAUUUGGAAUAAAACAUCACUUGCUUCUUGCCAUUUUGGCCAGUCAUUUUUUUGUCGACAUUCUGUGACAGAUUUAUGUUCAAGAUUCCAACUAUUUUGCAAGAUUUUCGUUGCAACAUUAUAUGCAAAGACAUAAUCCACUACUAUUUCGGAUCUAUUCAAAUUAGUUUCAACAUCACUUGAAUUUAUGGAUAGUUUCAACAUCAUCUUGACCAUUUGUUUUUCUUUUUCUAGGAUUUCGAUCCUUAGAACCUAAUGGUACAUCAGGCUUCAAGCGCACUUUAGAUUCAUUAGCUAUGACACUAGUGGAUGGUCCUUUAGGGACAUCAAUUCAAAUUGGGAAAUAUUCUGUAGGAAUAUAUGAUUUAGUGAUCCUUUUCAAAUCUGUAAAUGCGUCUGGCAUUUGAUUUGCAAUUUUCUGCAGAUGAAUAAUCUUUUGUACUUCUUGUCCACAAAUAGAAGCACGUGAAUCAAGUUGAGAUAGUGAUGGAUUUUUUCACAAAAUUUCUCUUUUGAUGUCAUUAUCUUCUCCCCCUAAUUUUGGAAAAACUAUUUCAUCAAAUCAAUAAUCUGCAAAUCGAGUUGUGAACAUAUCUCUCAUUAAUGGUUCAAGAUAGUGAAUAAUGGAGAGUGAUUCAAACCCAACAUAAGUUUCUAACCUUCUUUGGAGGCCCAUUUUGGAGUGAUUUAGUUAUUCUAUAGGCACAUAUACACCGCAUCCAAAAAUUCUCAGAUGAGAUAUAUUAGGCUCUUGACCAAAAUCAAUUGCAACGGAGAAAAUUUAUGAUAAUUUGUCGGUCUAAGACGAACAAGUGUUGCAGCAUGCAAAAUUUCAUGACCCUAAACAAAGUCGGCAACUUAGUUUUCAUAAGCAAUGGUCUAGCUAUCAAAUGCAGACGUUUAAUUAAUGACUCGGCAAGGCCAUUUUGAGUGUGAACAUGGGGUACAGGAUGUUCAACUCUUAUUCCAAUCGAUAAACAAUAGUAAUUAAAUGCUUGGAAUGAAAAAUCUGUGGCAUUAUCAAGGCGAAUAGACUUAAUUUGAUUAUCAGGAAACUGUGCCCAUAAUCGUAUUAUUUGUACCAACAGUUUUGCAAAUGCCAAGUUGCGAGAUGACAAUAGGCGCACAUGAGACCAUCUAGAAGAAGCAUCUAUUAGGACCAUAAAGUAUCUAAACGACCCACUAGGUAGGUGAAUGGGUCCAUAAAUAUCCCCAUGUAUGCGUUCUAAGAAUGCGGGGGACUCAAUCCCAACUUUUGUUGGCGAUGGACUCACAAUCAUCUUGCCUUGAUAAUAACCAUUACACGAAAAUUCAACAUUCGAAAUAACCUUCAAGUUUUUUAAUGGAUGCCCAUUUGAAUUUUCUAUGAUUCGUCUCAUCAUUAUAGAUCCAGUAUGUCCCAGACGAUCAUGCCAAAGUAUGAAAGUAUUGGAAUUAGUAAACUUCUUGUUUACUAUAGAAUGUGCCUCAAUUGCACAAAUCUUUGGCCAAUAUAGGCCAGAAGAUAAUGUAGGGAACUUUUCUUUAACACAUGUUUGCCAAGAGACAUUCUUGGUGAUACAAAGAUAUUCAAGAUUCAUCUCAUCAAUUGUCUUGAUAUGAUAACCAUGUUCAUGGAUAUCUUUAAAAUCUAUCAAGUUUCUCCGAGACUUAGGAGAAAACAUAAUAUUAUUUAUGAUGAGUUUAGCUUCCUUGGGCAAGAUUAUAAUGGCUUUUCCGAAGACUUCAAUUAAAUUAGCACUACCAGAAAUUGUAGUAAUAUUAAUCUUGACCAUGUUUCGAUGAGACAAAUAUUUUUCGUCUUUGAAUAACGUAUGUGUAGUGCUAGAAUCAAUCAAACAAAUAUCUUCACAAUUGGACAGCUUACUUUGAAAAUUAUCCAUAUCUUCAAGUAAAAUAAUAUACACCAAACUAAAUAUAUAUUAAAUCUUUAUAUAAAGAAAAAGAUUAUACUAUAAGGAAUUAUUAAUCACACUUUACUAAACAAUUAAAAAGAAUAUAUCCAAUUAGUGUGCGAUUAGUACAGCUUAGCAUUUUAUUUUUCAAUAGAAAGAAGAAGAAAAAUGCAUUGUAUUUUUCAAUAAUUAAAAAAAAAAAAUAAAAACACGUAUCCAUGGAGCCAACAAUCAAUUCACUAAUAAACAAUAAUAACCUGCAUGGGCCACCAAUAAUAGCGCCUACCAUUUGCUUUAAUUAAUGUAUCGUCCAAUCAAUGAGACGGCUUAGUAUAAAGAGCACUAGACGAUGAACAUUAUUUCUCCUAAUUCUUCUUCUUGAUCCACUAUUUUUUUUUUUUUUUUUUCUUUUGCAGCACCUACCAUUUGCUUUAAAUAAUGUAUCAUUUUUUCCUUUUUUUUUUGUCAAUAAAUAAUGAAAAAAUUGAAAUUCAAUUUAAUGCAAUAAUAAACCACAAUAAUAGAAUUAAACUAAUUAAUAAACCAUUAGGUUCAUCAUUUAGUAUAAAGAAAUAAAUUAAACGUGGAUGGUUCACAUAAACUAGAUCAUAACAAUUCAUCUUGUCUAUAAAUAGAAGAGGUUAGCAAGAAGGAUACACAAAUCAUCAAAACAAAUUAAUAUCCCUAAAGAUGAAGACCAUAUUACUCUUUCUUUUCCUUGAAAUAAUAUUCCUUCCCUUGUCAGCCUUGGCAACUCCCAACAACCAAGUAUUGAUAGAUGUACUCGAUACUAAUGGUAAUCCCCUCAACAAAAGCAAUAGGUACUGGAUAACUCCAGCCUACACCACUAUGGACGGUGGAGGCAUACGUGUUGCUAAUCUUGAUAGUGAUCUACAACAAAUCACUAUGUGUCCUACAUCAGUAGUACAAUCCCACCUUCCUACAGACGAUGGUAUCGCAGUUUAUUUUACACCUAAGAAUCCAAAACAUCAAAAUAUUGUGGAGUCCACUCCGGUAAACAUCCAUUUCUAUUUUGAUUAUCCUUUGUGUUCUAACCUAAAUGCAUGGAAGGUUGACAAUCUUGUAUCAGAAUUUCUGCCAAUUCUACACACCAUAAGCACAGGUGCAAAGGAUGAGAGCAGUUGGUUCCAAAUUAAGCCUACAACAAAUAGAAAGUAUAAGCUAGUGUUCUGUCUCUUUGACACUUAUUGCCAAGACAUUGGCGUCGUCUCACAAAGUGGUUAUCAUCGUUUGGUUCUCUCGGACAACCCAAAGCCCUUUGUGUUCAAACUGGAUGAUAGAAUUGGAAUGGCAGCAGAAGUAUGAUCUUGUCAUGUUAUGCCUAGAUCUACUCUAUGUAAUGUAUAAUAAUAAUGCAUGCAGGAACUUUGUCCCAUUGCAUGGAUGUAAAACUUGAUAAUAAUGUAAUGGGGGUCUGACUAUGUGCCCCUUAUAUAUGAUCACAUGAUAUAUAUUAUGUAUUGAUAAGGAUAUCAUAAAAGACUCUGGUUCCUUCCUUGAGAAGUCUCUUUAGUCCUCUAUGAUUUCAAAGAAUUAAUUAAGGCACAUAAGAAUAAGUACAGAGCCUGGAUCAAUAAACAUCGUAAAUGCUCAAUGACCAACUGGGAAAAUACAUGCAAUGACCUGUUCGACAACUAACUAUGAAAAUCAUGUAGUCAUAUAUACGAUCACUUUUUUCAAGAUACUAUUAUUACUAUAUUAAAAGUCGCUGCGAUUAAACAUUAGUACUAAAUAACUAUUCUCAGUUGUCAAUUUGGAAUAAAACAUCACUUGCUUCUUACCAUUUUGGCCAGUCAUUUUUUUGUCGACAUUCUGUGACAGAUUGAUGUACAUGAUCCCCACUAUCUUGCAAGAUUUUCGUUGCAACAUUAUAUGCGAAGACAUAAUCCACUACUAUUUCAGAUCUAUUCAAAUUAGUUUCAACAUCACUUGAAUUUAUGGAUAGUUUCUCAUUUUCUUGAGUCUCAGGCUCAUUAAUUCCUUCAAGAAUAUCAACAUUGCUCAAAUCUUGAACUUUCAUAUGAGGAUCUUUCAUAGUGUCAUCUUGACCAUUUGUUUUUCUUUUUCUAGGAUUUCGAUCCUUAGAACCUAAUGGUACACCAGGCUUCAAGCGCGCUUUAGAUUCAUUAGCUAUGACACUAAUGGAUGGUCCUUUAGGGACAUCAAUUCAAAUUGAGAAAUAUUCUGCAGGAAUAUGUGAUUUAGUGAUCCUUUUCAAAUCUGUAAAUGCGUUUGACAUUUGAUUUGCAAUUUUCUGCAGAUGAAUAAUCUUUUGUACUUCUUGUCCACAAAUAGAAGCAUGUGAUUAAGUUUAGAUAGUGAUGGAUUUUUUCACAAAAUUUCUCUUUUGAUGUCAUUAUUUUCUCCCCCCAAUUUUUGGAAAACUAUUUCAUCAAACCGAUAAUCUGCAAAUCGAGCCGUGAACAUAUCUACCAUUAAUGGUUAAAGAUAGUAAAUAAUGGAGGGUGAUUCAAACCCAACAUAAGUUUCUAACCUUCUUUGAAGGCCCAUUUUGGUGCGAUUUAGUUAUUCUAUAGGCACAUAUACACCGUAUCCAAAAAUUCUCUGAUGAGAUAUAUUAGGCUCUUGAUCAAAAAACAAUUGCAACGGAGAAAAUUUAUGAUAAUUUGUCGGUCUAAGACGAACAAGUGUUGCAGCAUGCAAAAUUGCACGACCCUAAACAAAGUGGACAACUUGGUUUUCAUAAGCAAUUGUCUUGCUAUCAACUGCAGACGUUUAAUUAAUGACUCGACAAGGCCAUUUUAAGUGUGAACAUGGGGUACAGAAUGUUCGACUCUUAUUCCAAUCGAUAAACAAUAGUCAUUAAAUGCUUGGAAUGAAAAUUAUGUGGCAUUAUCAAGGCGUAUAGACUUAAUUUGAUUAUGAGGAAACUGUGCCCGUAAUCGUAUUAUUUGUGCCAACAAUUUUGCAAAUGCCAAGUUGCGAGAUGACAAUAGGUGCACAUGAGAACAUUUAGAAGAAGCAUCUAUUAGGACCAUAAAGUAUCUAAACGACCCACUAGGUGGGUGAAUGGGUCCAUAAAUAUCCCCAUGUAUGCGUUCCAAGAAUGCGGGGGACUCAAUCCCAACUUUUGUUGGCGAUGGACUCACAAUUAUCUUGCCUUGAUAAUAAGCAUUACACGAAAAUUCAACAUUCGAAAUAACCUUCAAGUUUUUUAAUGGAUGCCCAUUUGAAUUUUCUAUGAUUCGCUUCAUCAUUAUAGAUCUAGUAUGUCCCAGAUGAUCAUGUCAAAGUACGAAAGUAUUGGAAUUAGUAAACUUCUUGUUUACUAUAGACUGUGUCUCAAUUGCACAAAUCUUUAGCCAAUAUAGGUCAGAAGAUAAAGCAGGAAACUUUUCUAUAACACAUGUUUGCCAAGAGACAUUCUUGGUGAUACAAAGAUAUUCAAGAUUCAUCUCAUCAAUUGUCUUGAUAUGAUAACCAUUUUCAUGGAUAUCUUUAAAAUUCAUUAAGUUUCUCCGAGACUUAGGAGAAAACAUAACAUUAUUUAUGAUGAGUUUAGCUCCCUUGGGCAAAAUUAUAAUGGAUUUUUCGAAGACUUCAAUCAAAUUAGCACUACCAAAAAUUGUAGUAAUAAUAAUCUUGACCAUGUUUAGAUGAGAGAAAUAUUUUUUGUCUCUGAAUAACGUAUGUGUAGUGCCAGAAUCAAUCAAACAAAUAUCUUCACAAUUGGACAGGUUAUUUUGAAAAUUAUCCGUAUCUUCAAGUACAAUAACAUACACCAAGUUAAAUAUAUAUUAAAUCUUUGUACAAAGAGAAAGAUUAUACUAUAAGGAAUUGUUAAUCACACUUUACUAAGCAAUUAAAGAGAAUAUGUUCAAUUAGUGUGUGCUUAGCUUAGCUUAACAUUUUAUUUUUCAAUAGAAAGAAGAAAAAAAUGCAUUGUAUUUUUCAAUAAUUAAAAAAAAAAAAAAGAAUAAAAACACGUAUCUAUGGAACCAACAAUCAAUUCACUAAUAAACAAUAAUAACUUGCAUGGGCCACCAAUCAAGUCUCUUUUUUUUUCUGUUUUCUUUUUCUUUUGUAGCGCCUAUCAUUUGCUUUACUUAAUGUAUCGUCCAAAUUUUUUUUUUUUUUUUUUUUCAGCACCUACCAUUUGCUUUAAAUAAUGUAUCAUUUGUUCCUUUCUUUUUUGUCAAUAAAUAAUGAAAAAAUUGAAAUUCAAUUUAAUGCAAUAAUAAACCACAAUAAUAAAAUUAAACUAAUUAAUAUUAAUCAAAAUCUAAUACUCAUGCAAACAACUACUUUUACAUGAUUUUUAUUCACUAACUCUUAUUAAUAGUAAAAAAAAUAAAUUAAAAAUUAUUCAUUCUUCCAUGUUUACGAAACUGUCACCAAUCAAGUGAUCAAUUUCUUUCUACAUCCAACCAUGUGAUGUCAACAUUAUUUUCAGUGAGAAAGUUAGCUCGAAAUUUCUUUCUUUUUCUUUAGUGAUGCUAGAUAAAGAUCAACCAAGUGCUUGAGAGCACGACAAUCACGUGAAUAAUGUCCUUUUUCACCACAUCAAAAAUAAGUAAUUGUUUCACGUUUCUCAUCUUUUUUUUUGUUCAACCAAUGAUUAACACCCGGAAUAGAAUUUCUUUCUUGGUCAUCACGACCACGACCACGACCAUAACCACGACCACGUCUAGGGUCGCGACCUUUUCCACGCCUAGCAUGGUAAGCAUGCAUAUCAUUCACCUCAGGGAAUGGUGCAGAUACAGUAAGUGGAUUCUUGUAAUUUUUCGUCAAAAAAUUAUUAUUUUAUUCAGCCACGAGAAGAUGAGAACUCAGUUCAGUAUAUUUCUUGAAACCUUUUUCUCGAUAUUGCUUCUGUGAUAGUAUAUUCGAGGUAUGAAAGUGGAGAGCGUCUUUUCCAUCAUAUCGUCAUCAUUGACCGUCCCUCCACAUAGUUUCAAUUAAGAAAAAAUUCUGAACAUGGCAGAAUUGUACUCAUGAACAGACUUAUAGUCUUGAAACCUUAGAUGCAUUCAUUCAUAUUGUGAUUUUGGGAGGAUGACCAUCUUUAAGUGGUCAAGCCUUUCUUUUAGGAUAUUCCACAAUACGAGUGGAUCCUUAGUAGUAAGGUAUUCCAUUUUUAGAAUUUCGUCAAGAUGAUGAUGGAAUAAAAUCAUAGCAUUAGCACGAUUUUGACUAGAUGCUGUAAUUUCUUUCUUUAUGGUGUCUCCAACACCCAUAACAUCUAGGUGGAUAUCAACAUCCAGCACCCAUGAAAUAUAGUUCUUGCCCGAACAUUGAAGUGUAACGAACUCACACUUAGUAAGAUUAUUAGACAUACGAAAAAGGGAAGAAAAAUAAUACCUUAGCCUUUAACUUUGAGAUGGUGGAGUCUUGUGCUGAUAACAUUUUAUGAAAUAACAAAGAAUAAAGAACAAGAGUAUAGAGAGAAGAGAGAGUAAUUGUUAAUUCUCUUGAGGAUGAUUUAAAAUGAAGGAAUUCCUUCUAUUUAUAGGGAAAAUUUGCUCCUAUUUUCACACUAAAAAGAUAAAUACAUCAAGUCCUGAUAGACAUCAACUAAUUCUUGAUAGAUCUUGACAGACAUUCACUAUAACUGAUAUACAUCAAUAUCAUAACAGGAGCAAAAUAAUUGUCUAUUCUUGAUAUGUUAAAAGUGACAAAUAAAAGUGAAAAUCUUAUCUUUUAAAUAAUGAACAAGUAACAUGAUAGAUGGAGUAAAUGACUUCUCCACAUCUACUUUAUAUAUUAUAAUAAAAACAUAUGAUUUUUUUACGAAUAUAUUAUUGGGUUCAUAGUAUAUGAAAGAAGUGUGAAUGAAAAACUGGAGAAUAAAAUGGUGGAGGGGAAGGAGACACUAAAAUGGAAAGUGUACUCCCAAAUUAGAAAGUUUACUCUUUCUCCCACAUUGGUGGAAGAAGAGAACUUGAAAGUUUUUUAUAAUCAAGAACACUUACUCCACAUGACAAGUGAGACAAGAAAUAAUAGAUGCCUCUCGCCAUUGUCGUCGUCGCUCGCUCGGCUCGACUUCGACUUCGGCUUCGGCUUCGGAUUUGGAUUUGGAUUUGGAUAAUGAUCGAUCGAUGAGAUCUAUCUUUUUGGACAAACUUCUGCAGUGUUUCAACAGUUGCACUGUUUCAAGUGAACUGAUGCAUUAUUUUCAAACUGGUGCUUCAAAAAUGAUAUUGUUCUGAACUGAUAAACUGAGGCUAUAGAAGGUUGGAACGGGUUCAAAAUGAUGCUUCAGUAGGAUGUAAUACUUCAAUGAAGUGACACACUGAUUCAUGAAAUGAGAUGACUGUUCAGGAAAAGAUGCAAUCUUUGAUGAACAGACAUGAACUUACAGCAAAGGUGUAACCUUUGGAGUGAACCAUUGCCUCUUUUCAGAAGAGGCAUGUUAUGGCUAUAUAAACCUGCUUUCAUCCACAGGUUUUGAUAUGAAAUUUCAGAAUAAAAAAUACUCUUCUUGUCUUCAAAAAUUCUGUGUAAUCAUUCAAACUGUUGAGUGUGUUCGACGAGUCUAAAUAUUUGAGGUACCGCUAUAUUUGGAUUGAAGGCCAUUUUAUCCUGGGAUGAAAAAUUCCAUAACCUCGGGUACAGUGAGGGGAAUUGUUUCCUUAAGGAAACUCCGUGAAUUCAGACGACUUGGCCUUAUUCAUUUCUGUUUCAUCUUGAUUUCUGAAAAUAAAAUACACUUCUAAGAAAGAUCACUUUGAUCCUUUGUUGAGGGUAUUUUUUGUACUUUAUUGAGUUCUUAUUUUAAACUUGAACUAGUUGAAGUUGUUUUUCUACAUACACAGAUUCUGCGUACCCGUAGAAAGAAAUAACAAUCUUAAGGAAACAAAUUUCAGAAUCUGUAUAGCUUGUUUUUGGAAAUUACAGUUUUAACUUUCUACUCUGCCUGAACUUAACUAGUAAUUUGAAGUCAUAAAAACUUCAUCACAAGUUAAAGAUCAUUCGGUUGACAAUUGGAAGUCAUAAAAACUUCAUUGUCAACUAGAAACAAGAAGAAAAGUUUAAAGUUGCUUAACUUUAUAAGUAGUAAUCUGAAAAUACUAAGUAUUUUUUAUCUUGUGGUGACAGGAAAAAUGACAAGCGAUAGUCAAAUGCAAGAUGCGGCAACGUCUGUGGGGACAACUAAUAUUGCCACUUCAAGUCGCACAAAUGCUCCGCCUACAAUGGAAUCGACGGAGAAGCCCGAAAAAUUUACGGGCAUUGACUUUAAACGAUGGUAGCAAAAGAUGUUUUACCUCACCACUCUGUGUAUGCAACGGUUCACUAGAGAAGACGCUCCUGACGUGCCCGAGGGAACCUCGGACAAAGGGCAUUUCAUAAUUGUAGAAGCUUGGAAACAUUCAGAUUUCCUUUGCAGGAAUUAUAUUCUGAGUGGUCUCCAAGAUGACCUCUACAAUGUUUACAGUGGAACUAAGACAUCGAAGAAAUUAUGGGGGGAACUUGAACGAAAAUAUAAAACAAAGGAUGUGGGAAUUAAGAAAUUCCUUGUUGCACGAUUCCUGGACUUUAAAAUGAUAGAUACGAAAUCGGUUGUCUCUCAAGUGCAGGAGUUGCAAGUCAUCAUAUAUGAUCUCCUAGCAGAAGGUAUAUGUGUGAAAAAUACCUUAGUUGAACAAAUUUAAAAAGUUCUUAAUACUCACAAAAAUUGUUUUUAGGUUUGAUUGUGAAUGAUGCAUUUCAAGUAGCAGCGAUAGUUGAGAAGCCACUACCUUUGUGGAAAGACUUCAAAAAUUACUUGAAGCAUAAACGCAAGGAGAUGACUGUUGAAGAUCUUAUUGUCUGACUAUUGAAGAUGAUAAUAAAGCUACUGAGAGAAGGUCAAAAGGGAAUUCUACAAUUAAUGGAGCCCAUAUUGUAGAAGAUGACCAAAACAAUUCUAAGAAAAGAAAAAAAGCUGAACGAGGAAGCAAUCAACCCAAGAAGAAAUUCAAGAAAAAAUGCUUCAAUUGUGACAAGAUUAGCCACAAGUCCACGGAUAACCCGAAGAAAGGCAAGAAAACGGAUCAAGCAAAUAUGAUUGAAUCCAACAAAGAAUGCGGUGAUUUAUGUUCUAUGUUCUCAGAAUACAACUUGGGGGGAAAUCCUCUUGAAUGGUGGAUGGAUUCAGGUUCCACCCACCAUGUAUGUACCAACAAAGAGUUGUUUUCGUCAUUCGCUCCAGAUCAAGUAGAAGAAAUGAUCUACAUGGCUAACUCCGCUAUUGCUAAGGUAGAAGGAGCAGGAGAAAUAUGUUAGAAAAUGACUUCAAGAAAGGUCUUAACACUUAACAAUGUCUUUUAUGUUCCGGAGUUACGUAGGAAUUUAAUUUCUGUUUCACUUCUAGACAAGAACGGAUUCAAAUGUGUAACCAUUUCUGAAAAAAUUGUAAUUAGCAAAGGAGAAAUGUAUGUGGAAAAAGUCUAUCUGACCGAAGGCCUUUAUAAGAUGAAUGUAAUGACUGUUGAAAUAAACAAAAGUUCAAAUUCUUAUUAUUUUCUUGAGUCUUAUGAUUUAUGGCAUGAACAUUUUGCCCAUGUUAAUUAUAAAAUGUUACGAAAAUUGAUUAACUUAGAAGUUUUACCAAACUUUGAGUGCACUAAAUCAAAGUGUCAAAUGUGUGUGGAAUCGAAGUAUGCACGGUAUCCUUAUAAGUCCGUUAAAAGGAAUUCCAAUCCCUUAGACUUAAUACAUACUGACAUUUGUGAUAUGAAGUCAACACCAUCACGUGGUGGGAAAAAGUAUUUCAUAACUUUUAUUGACGAUUACACGAGAUAUUGUUAUGUCUAUCUGCUAAAUAGUAAGGAUGAAGCAAUAGAUGCGUUUAGGCAAUAUAAAACUGAAGUUGAAAAUCAAUUAGACAAAAAGAUCAAAAUCAUAAAAAGUGAUAGGGGCGAAGAAUAUGAAUCUCCCUUUGCGUAAAUAUGUGUAGAGAAUGAAAUCAUCCAUCAAACUAUGGCCCCAUAUUCACCUCAAUCUAAUGGAAUUAUGGAAAGGAAAAACCAAACUUUGAAGGAAAUCAUGAAUGCCUUCCUUAUAAGUUCUGGAUUACCGCAAAACUUGUGGGGGGAGGAUAUCCUUACGUCUAACCGUAUACUCAAUAGAGUUCCCCAUAGUAAGAUACAAUCAAUUCCUUAUGAAAAGUGGAAAAUAAGAAAACCCAACUUGAAAUAUUUCAAAGUGUGGGGGUGUCUAGCAAAGGUCCAAGUUCCUGUGCCUAAAAGGGUUAAGAUAGGACCGAAGACGGUGGACUAUGUGUUCAUAGGAUAUGCUAAAAGCAGUAAGGCAUGUCGAUUUUUGGUUCAUAAAUCCAAACAUUUGGAUAUUAAUGAAAAUACGGUAAUUGAAUCAGACAAUGCUGAAUUCUUUGAAAACAUUUAUUUGUAUAAAACUAGAUAUGAACAGUCUAGUGGGGGGUCUAAACGACCUCGUGAUGAACCAAUUGAAAAUGAACAUAAUGAAUAAAAUCCAAGAUGUAAAACACGUCAAAGAACGUUUACUUCGUUUGGAGUGGAUUUUGUGACAGUUUUUUGGAAAAUGAGCCUCAAACAUUUAAGGAAGCAAUGGCAUCUUCGAAUUCAUCCUUUUGGAAAAAGGCAGUCAAUAGUGAGAUAGAUUCAAUCUUAAGCAACAAUACAUGGGAAUUGGUUGACCUUCCUCCCAGAAAUAAACCUUUAGGUUCCAAAUGGAUCUUCAAAAGAAAGAUGAAACUGGAUGGUACUAUUGAUAAAUACAAGGCAAGACUUGUAGUAGAAGGCUUCAAACAGAGAGAAGGCCUUGAUUACUUCGAUACAUACUUGCCAGUAACAAGGAUAACAUCGAUUCGAAUGUUAAUUGCCUUGGCUGCGGUAUAUGGCCUUGAGAUCCAUUAAAUGAAUGUGAAAACCGCUUUCCUAAAUGGAGAAUUGAAGGAAGAAAUAUACAUGGAACAACCUGAGGAUUUUGUGGUUCAUGGAACAACCUGAGUAUUUUGUGGUUCCAGGAAAGAAAAAUAAGGUGUGUAAUUUUAUUAAGUCAUUGUAUGGACUAAAGCAAGCACCUAAACAAUGGCAUACGAAGUUUGACCAAACUAUGUUGGCAAACAGAUUCAAAAUAAAUGAAUGUGAUAAAUGUGUUUAUAUUAAAGACAUUCCAAAUCACCAAGUCAUUAUUUGUUUAUAUGUGGAUGAUAUGUUAAUCAUCAGUAGAGACAUUUCUAACAUAAAUGCAACAAAAUGAAUGCUCGAGAGAAAGUUUGAUAUGAAAGACCUUGGAGUUGCGAAUGUGAUCUAAGGUAUAAGAAUCCAAAGAACUCCACAAAGGUUGGCAUUGUCACAGUCUCAUUAUGUCGAAAAGGUACUUGACAAAUUCAAGUAUAUGAAAUUCGGUAUUGCCAAGACUCAAUUGGAUGCGAGCUUUGCACUUCGAAAGAAUGAAGAUGAAAGUGACUUGCAAUUGGAGUAUGCAAGAGUAUUGGGAUGUUUAAUGUAUAUAACGAACUGUACACGACCAAACAUAGCAUGCGCUAUCAGUAAAUUGAGUUGGUACACGAUUAAUCCCAACAAAACUCAUUGGAUGGCAUUAAAAGAGUUUUGGGGUUUCUUAAAUACACUCAAGAUUAUGCUUUGCAUUAUAAUAAAUAUCCUGUGGUACUUGAAUGAUCUAGUGAUGCAAAUUGGAUCACCGGAUGAAACGAAGUAAAAUCCAUAAGUGGAUAUGUAUUUACUAUUGGUGGAGGAGCGGUCUCUUGAAAAUUAUCCAAACAGACUUGUAUUGCUCGCUCUACAAUGGAAUAUGAAUUUAUCGCAUUAGAUAAAGCCAGUGAAGAAGCAGAAUGACUCCACUAUUUCUUGGAAGAUAUUCCUUAUUGGCCCAAACCAGUGGAACCAGUAUGUAUACACUGUGCUAGCCAAGAGGCAAUAGGCAAGGCAGGGAGCAUGAUGUACAACGGUAAAUCUCGUCACGUACAACGGAGACAUAAUACCGUUAGAAAACUUCUCUCUAGUGGAAUUAUCACUAUUGACUAUGUAAAGUCAAAGUAUAAUAUGUCGGAUCCAUUUACAAAAGGCCUAUCUAGAGAAGGAGUGGAAAGAACAUCUAAGAGAAUGGGUUUAAGGCGUAGGAUGAGCCAGCAUGGAGGUUACUCUGCCUAGCAGACUGGAAAUUCCAAGAGCUAGGUUUAAGGAGAUCAAACAAAGUUGUGUCUGACAGGUUCAACAUUGUCAAUUACCCAACUCAUUCUCAUGAUGUAGACAAUGUUUAGUAAACAAGGAUACGACUUAAGGUGAAAAGUCUUUUAAUGCUUAUCUAAAUUUGGCAGAUUAGACCAAAUAGUUUAAUCUACAGGAUUGAAUGUUUAGAAAUCACCUAUGUGAGAGCGAAGUGGAAGCCUCUUCAAAGAGAAUGUUAGUAAAGGAUUAUUCUCCAAGCUCUCAUGAAACCGGGACGUGCUUAUUGCUGAAAAGAACAAAACCAUGAGAACCAUAAAUUGUAAAAGGCUGGUUGUGUGACAUAUAUUGUCUAGGUGUACAUUAAAGCUCGACGGUUCAAGGAUAUCAAAUCUACCGAUUGACCGAGUGCAUCCGAUGCAUGUUCACUACGGAAAGUUUAAAGGGAAACCCACUUAUCCAGAUGCAAUCAGUCUUUGCCUGAUGAUCACAUACUUGUCCGUAAAAUUUUUAUGAUAAAUAACCAUUCCCCAUUCAUGUGGGGGAUUGUUGGGUUCAUAGUAUAUGAAAGAAGUGUAAAUGGAAAAAUAGAGAAUAAAAUGGUAGAGGGGAAGAAGAUACUAAAAUGGAAAGUGUAAUCCUAAAUUAGAAAAUUUACUCUUUCUCCCACAUUGGUGGAAGAAGAGAACUUAAAAGUGUUUAUAAUCAAGAACACUUACACCACAUGGCAAGUGAGGCAAGAAAUAAUACAUGCCUCGUGCCGUCAUCGUCGUCGCUCGCUCGGCUCAGCUUUGGAUUUGGAUUUGGAUUUGGAUUUGGAUUUGGAUAUCGAUCGAUGAGAUCUAUCUUUUUGGACAAUCUUUAUUUGAAUUCUGAAGAAUGCUAAGGAAAAAUACUGUAAAAUUUUUCUGCAGUGUUUCGACAGUUGCACUAUUUCAAGUGAACUGAUGCAUUAUUUUUGAACUGGUGCUUCAGAAAUGAUACAUUAUUUUGAACUGGGGCUACAGAAGGUUGCAAUGGUUCGAAAUGAUGCUUCAAAAGGAUGUAAUCCUUCAAUAAAGUGAGGUGUUACCUUUGGAGUGAACCAUUGCCUCUUUUCAGAAGAGACAUGUUAUGGCUAUAUAAACCUGCUUUCAUCCACAGGUUUUGAUACAAAAUUUCAGAAUAAAAAAACCUCUUCUUGUCUUCAAAAAUUCUGUGUGAUCAUUCAAACUGUUGAGUGCAUUCGAUGAUUCCAAAUAUUUGAGGUACCGCUAUAUUUGGAUUGAAGGCCAUUUUAUCCUGGGAGAAAAAAUUUCAUAAAAAAAUUCAUAACCUCGGGUACAGUGAGGGGAAUUAUUUACUUAAGGAAACUCUGUGAAUUCAGAUGACUUGGCCUUAUUCAUUUCUGUUUCAUCUUGAUUUCUGAAAAUAAAAUACACUUCUAAGAAAGAUCACUUUGAUCUUGUGUUGCGCAUAUUUUUUGUACUUCAUUGAGUUCUUGUUUUAAACUUGAACUAGUUGAAGUUGUCGUUCUACAUAUACAGAUUCUGCGUACCCGUAGAAGGAAAUAACAUAUAUAUAUCAUCAUUUAGUAUAAAGAAACAAAUUAAACGUGGAUGGUUCACAUAAAUUAGAGCAUAACAAUUAAUCUUGUCUAUAAAUAGAAGAGGUUAGAAAGAAGGAUACACAAAUCAUUAAAACAAAUUAAUAUCCCUCAAGAUGAAGACCAUAUUACUCUUUCUUUUCCUUGAAAUAGUAUUCCUUCCCUUGUCAGGCUUGGCAACUCCCAACAACCAAGUAUUGAUAGAUGUACUCGAUAUUAAUGGUAAUCCCCUCAACAAAAGCAAUAGGUACUGGAUAACUCCGGCCUACACCACUAUGGACGAUGGAGGCAUACGUGUUGCUAAUCUUGGUAGUGAUCUACAACAAAUCACUAUGUGUCCUACAUCAGUAGUACAAUCUCACCUUCCUACAGACGAUGGUAUCGUAGUUUAUUUUACACCUAAGAAUCCAAAACAUCAAACGAUUGUGGAGUCCACUCCGGUAAAUAUCCAUUUCUAUUUUGAUUAUCCUUUGUGUUCUAACCUAAAUGCGUGGAAGGUUGACAAUCUUGUAUCAGAAUUUCUGCCAAUUCUACACACCAUAAGCACAGGUGCAAAGGAUGAGAGCAGUUGGUUCCAAAUUAAGCAUACAACAAAUAGAAAGUAUAAGCUAGUGUUUUGUCUCUUUGACACUUAUUGCCAAGACAUUGGCAUCGUCUCACAAAGUGGUUAUCAUCGUUUGGUUCUCUCGGACAACCCAAAGCCUUUUUGCUCAAACUGGAUGAUAGAAUUGGAAUGGCAGCAGAAGUAUGAUCUUGUCAUGUUAUGCCUAGAUCUACUCUACGUAAUGUAUAAUAAUAAU